CUGUCCUUCUGGGGAGAGCACUAUGCUCCACACAGAAGAACCAGAAGCAGCAGCAGGCCUACAGCUGGUGUAGGGACCUCGGAUUGAGUGGGGCCAGGAGACGGGCGGACAUCGUGUGGAGAGAAGCUGUCAGAGGAGCAGGAGCCAGGCCCUUGGGAAGUAGCUCGGAUGUCGGGUUCCAGGUAAUGGAGCCGUGAUGCUGGGGCCAGAUUGUCUGUGGUGAGAAGUUCUUUGUAGGGGGAUAGGGUCAGCAGAUUGCAACAGGGCCUCACUGGCUCUGCCUCCCCCAUCCCCCACCUUGCUGUCACCAUGGCGCUGGGCUGUCCCAGGCCUUCCCAGGGAGACGGUCUCUCGGAAAGGAGAGGUGACCGGGAGAAUACUCUUUUAUGGGAAAUUUGCCACAUCACCUGAGCGUUCCCCUGUGAGUUCCCUGAGUCCUCUCCUCCUGCUGUCCUCCUGGAGCUCCCUAGUGUGGCCCAGGGCGCCCCAGCCAUCCUCUCUCCUGCAGGACAGCCGCAUCCUCAAGGUGGCCGUGAAAGCAAAUUUACCCUGGCCGAGGGUUCCACCUGCCAUUUCCCGUCAUACCCUAACUCGGAACCUUCCCUGAAAUACGGCUGCCCCAGGACCCUCUGGUGACAACUCCCCCUCUGGGUCGAGGGCUUAUCUUUCUCAUCACCCUUUGUGCAUCCCCAUUUCCUCUGAUUCUUCUAAAAUGUCUCUUGGCCGUGCCAUUUCUUUUCCACUCUCGUCCCACUCCUCCUGCCCUUCUCCCCUGGGGCCCACGCUGUCUCAACAGUUGCGUGGCCAGUCAGAACUAUGGUCGUGCUGAGUACAACCCAGUUUCCUUCAAAGUGACAUAGCCACUUCCAUUCUGCCCUGGAGGUGUUCACACUUUAUUUUUAGCCAUAGAUGCAGGAUUUUGGCUGCCCCCAUGCAAAACAUAAGUGCUGAGCAGCCCUGGUUGGAGGGGGUGUGAGGCCUGGAGCCCUGCUCACAUGGCAAUCCCCCCAUCCCCAGCAGAAUCCUGGUGACCCAUCAGAAUCAUUGGGGAAACUUAAACAAAUGGGAAUUCCAGAGCCUGGGGCAGGCCUCCUGACUCAGAAUCUGUGUGUGUGGCGUGGGGGUGGGGGUGGAGUCCGAGCUUUGAAACAAGCUUCCCAGAGGCCCUGAAGCAGCUGGUCGGCAUCUCCUCAGCUGCCAGUUCCUCUCCAACAGGGGCCUCACUCUGGCCAUGGGGGUCCUGCCACCUUCAAGACCUGCCAGGCCUUCCCUUCACCCCCUCAGCUCUUCCCCCUAGGUACCCUCAUCACCUGGUCAAAUUGCACCCCAGCCCACCCCUUCGGAACAAAGACUUCAGCAGCCUUUGUUAAUCCCACGCCAACUGUUAGCUGGAAACUGCCUGCGGCCCACCUGCCUGACUGGCCCACCUGCCUGACGAGGAGGAGAUCAGAGCCUGGAGAGGUGUCCUGAAGCCCCAGUGGGGCAACAUCCUGGGACGGGAGCUGGAGGCUGGGCAGAGGUGGGGCCCCGAGGACACACUGAGGGCAGCAGCAGGCAGUCCUUCUAGAACUUCCUGCCAAGUGGGAGAGGGGAGCCAAAGUAACGCCAGGCCUCCAGCCAAGAUGUCAGGCCAAAAUUCGGGUCACCAAAUCCGAAGAAUCAAACAGAAAAAUGGGUAUGAAGGUAGAAUACCAAAAAUGGAGCAGCCCUGGGGAGGGCGGGGGAGGUGGAGACCUGGAGCUUAAAUUAAAGGGGGACAUCAGUUCUGCCCAGGAGGGAAGGGGGGCAGACUGGGGCAGUGAGGACACAAGCAGAAACAGGUUCCUCGGCACUGGGGAAAAGCCGCCCCACGACUCCCCAGGGAGGCCGUAGUCCGCAGUAAACAACUACCGAGGAAUGAAGCAGAACUCCAGAUGGAUUCCAGGAAGGAACCUCGUCACGCUCCCGAAAGGACUCCUAGAGGCCCCGGAUGUUCCCUAUCUCCUUCUGUACUGUUGACACCUGAUCGACCUUAAAAUGCUGCCGAACCUAUUGAUGAAUUCCAGUCCUCCCCAAAAAGCCCAUAUCAGUUUCAGCUAUCUCAUCCCCAAGAGCCUGUGGAGAGGCCAGCAGCCCAUCGUGAGAUAAUCAGAGGGGGGCCUGCCCAUCCUCAGUCUUUCACUUUGUCAACACUGAGACUCGUGGCUCCUGUGUGCUGUGCUGAGCUCCAAGGACGCAGAGAACGCUGGUCCCACGUGGAGGAGAGCAUGGGUGCAAGACUGUGGCACCACCACCAGGCUGUAGGUCCCAAGGAAGCCCUGUGUUGUAUUUGUAACUGUAUCUCUUACACCUAACAGGAGGCCCACACCUAGUAGGUGCUCAAUAAAAAAUUAGAAAUAAAUAAUACAACACGCUCCCUUUGAUAACAAAGAGUUGGGAGAUGGGGAGGAAAUGGUUAAUUCUGCUAGGGUAUUAAAGAAACCUUCACCGAAGAGGCCACAGGUCCAAGCUGGUCCAUGAAAUUGUAGGAGUCAACGGGCAGAGAAGGGAGAAGAGCAGUCCAGGAGGAGCGAAUGGGAGGGUGUGAUGUGGCAAGAGGUCAAGCAGGAAGAAAGGCAGGAUGAGGAGGGACCUUGAACUGCAGGCAGGUCCAGGCCCCACAGAUGCUAACUCUGUUCAUAGAUUCUACUGUUCACGUGACAAAUUCUUCUUAGAAUCACGAGCCAAACUGCCUCUUUAGAAACAUUAAUUUCCUUUUGUCAAGUGGUGAAGCCAUGCUGUGUUUCCUUUCUCACUUUGACUGCCAGGAAGCUCCUGAAGUACUGGGUUCCUUAUAAUUUUUUGUAUCCCCUAACAGUCCCACGCAGGACUUUCC
rnacentral:lncRNA from 1 species